rfam:Glycine soja cultivar W05 scaffold3829_23, whole genome shotgun sequence.
UUCUUACUAAAUGACGAUUGUCACGUGUCAUGUUCUGAUUACAUGAAAGAUGAAAUGCAUUGUUAUUUUCAUUGACCAAUCAGAACAUGACACAUGACAAUCACGUGAC